GUGAACGCUGGCGGUAGGCCUAACACAUGCAAGUCGAACGGCAGCACAGUAAGAGCUUGCUCUUACGGGUGGCGAGUGGCGGACGGGUGAGGAAUACAUCGGAAUCUACUUUUUCGUGGGGGAUAACGUAGGGAAACUUACGCUAAUACCGCAUACGACCUACGGGUGAAAGCAGGGGAUCUUCGGACCUUGCGCGAUUGAAUGAGCCGAUGUCGGAUUAGCUAGUUGGCGGGGUAAAGGCCCACCAAGGGGACGAUCCGUAGCUGGUCUGAGAGGGGGAUACGCCACCAGAGAGUGGAAGCCCGGACCGGGACCGUGAGGGGGGCAAGAGGGGGGAAGUUGGGACAAGGGGGGAAAACCGGACCACGGCAGCCCGCGUGGGGGAAAAAGGCCUUGGGGUGGAAAACCCCUUUUGUGGGGAAAAAAAAGCGCGAGGUUAACGACCCGUUUUUUGACGGGACCCAAAAAAAAAGCCCCGGCUAAAUUCGGG
rnacentral:rRNA from 1 species